rnacentral:lncRNA from 1 species
GUGACUGUGGAAGGGUUGGACAGCCAUAGACAUAUAUACGUAGAAGCCGUAUUGAGCGCUGAGUCGUACGUCGCAGCAAUAUUGGAUGUGGCAAACUGGAGAGAUCGGACGAGCGGGAAGAUACCUCAUUCAUGUGCUGCUUGGGGAUGUUCCAACCAUUUUACAGCAGAAACCACAUCCCAUGCCACUUUACACAGGGCUAUUGUACUGCACUCAGCCAUGAGAGUUGUCCCCAUACUUGACCAGCUGAGAAAAGGCCUGCAACUGUAUGACCUGCUCAAGGUUAUGAAGACACACCUGGACCUUUGCCACUGUUUGUUCCAGGGGAAGAUGAUAGGGUAUAUACAUUUGUCUUUGAUUGGUUGUUCCCAUUAAAUUUUGUUUAGUAUAAGAAAUAGUGUUGUAGAGCUGCACCCUUUGUGGUUUAUUGUUUUUGUAGGUGGAUGUGGCCUUCAUCCUGGAAAAGUCCCAACCUGAUUUCAGUGAGACGGGCUCUCUGAAAUACUGUAGAGAAAUAAACAUCAUGAAUUUUUUCUAAGACUUCCUACAAGAAAUUGAGGAUUGUAGCAUGUUUGAGCUGGUACACAGUUACUGAUCUGUUAAUCUUUUUUUUUUUUUUUAGUUCAUACUAACACCCAUCUCUCAUUUUAGAAGAAGAUAGUCGGAGUGAUGAGUUCCACAGCAACUGAUAGUUGGCAGAAUCAUGCAGUGGCAGACAGGACAGGCACAUUAGCCUGUUCUGCUAAGUGAGAAGCAGGACUUCUGAUCAUACAAUUUGUUUUCCAACAGUAAGCACGUGUAGUUGCACAAUUACGUUUCCAGUUGAUCAUCUGAUAGCAUUCAUUGAAUUCAAGAACAUUAUAGAAACAGCCAUAUUUCAUGAGCAGUCCUUUUAUAGGGUGUGAGCUAUUUGACCAUUCUUGAUGGAAUUUCAGGGGAUAUUCAUGUUCACUUAUUUUGAUGUCUGUUUUGUGGUUAUUUUUCUGAUGUUUUACCAUGUUUAGUAUUAAAAUGAAUGGGCUGUUACAAAUACUCUUAAAGCUAAACUGGUUUGUGUGUGUGUUGUCUACUUUUAAAUGUUCAACAUGUUCAAAUUUAUUAUUUUAACAAUGUAAAAAUCCCUAAAUUUAACUGGAAUUAUAAUGCAUUCACUAUAUGAACCAUAGGAAGAAGUUGGACACACAGAUACUAUGCAAUCAUAGCGCAGAUAAAUAGUUGUGCAGGCACAUUACACACUACAAAAGGCAGAUAGAU